rnacentral:rRNA from 1 species
CCUACGGGAGGCAGCAGUGAGGAAUAUUGGUCAAUGGACGAGAGUCUGAACCAGCCAAGUAGCGUGAAGGAUGACUGCCCUAUGGGUUGUAAACUUCUUUUAUAUGGGAAUAAAAUGUUCCACGUGUGGGAUUUUGUAUGUACCAUAUGAAUAAGGAUCGGCUAACUCCGUGCCAGCAGCCGCGGUAAUACGGAGGAUCCGAGCGUUAUCCGGAUUUAUUGGGUUUAAAGGGAGCGUAGGUGGAUUGUUAAGUCAGUUGUGAAAGUUUGCGGCUCAACCGUAAAAUUGCAGUUGAAACUGGAAGUGUUGAGUACAGUAGGGGUGGGGGAAUUCUGUGGGGUAGUGGUGAA